UGUUUCCUUUUUACUCCCCUCACUUAUUUGAGUUACAAGACUUAAUCCUGGUGAUAGCCCCAGGAGUGCUUUCUCCCCUGUUCCUGCAGAUAAUCCAAUCCUGUUGGUGAGCAUAUCCUUCCCCAUAUUCGUAGUAGGUACAGCACUAUGUAUUCCUUGACCCCCAAUAUUCGUAGUGGGAACAGCACUAUGUAUUCCUUGACCCUUCCCUAGGUGUUCCCGGACUCCAGCUUUUUCUGCACGUUUCUGCUCUUUCUUCUUAUAAUUUCUUCCUUUUGUCCACAUGUUUUCAAGAUUUUCGGGAGUAAGAACUUCAGUUCUUCUUUGCGUCACAGCCUCCAGCAUUUGUGCCCACUCAGCAGCUCGCAGAUGCACAGACUCUUCCUGGGAUGUAUUAUCAUCCAAAGACAUUUCUCUUUGAUUCCCAAAAUUUGUUGGUAUCAUAUCAGUCCCUUGAUUAUGCAACGAAGAGAAUUGUCCUGAGAUCGAAUCUCCCAUUUUCAUUUCCCCUGUACGCUUAUCACCACUCAACCCUCUAUUGCUAUCAUCUCUGAUAGCAAGUAAAAUGACUUCAAUCAAUUCAUUGAUAUACCUGGUUAAAGAAAGAAUUUUAUCGGAUGGUUAGACAUUCAAGAGAAGAGAAAGGCAUAGAAUACUUCACGUCCUCUGAGAAUUUCUAAAAAUAAAAACUCAAAUGUAUGCUGUUACAAGUAUAAUCCGUUGAAAGUAUGGUAUGAUUAUCAUUCCCUUUCCCUCGCUACAUUAAGUGAUGUAUAUUGGAGUUGUAACAAUGUCCUCAACUCGGCAUUUCAGAUGAUUUUAACAACAAAUAUUCCAUUUGCAAAAUAAUUAGUUCAAGAAACAAGUAUAGUUUAGCACAGUCCACAGGUAGUUCAAAAGCUUGGACUUUCAAGUACCCUUAAAACCUCCAAAACCCUUCAGCAUUAACCAGUCAUCUAGGAGAACACAAAAAGAGAAAAAGAGAAAGAGCAAAGUUGAAAUUACUACAACAAUAAAGCAUCAAAAUAAAUCAUCAUGAAAUUAUAUACUAAUUUACUAAAAUUAUUAGAAUUCAACAUAUCUAGAGUGUUUCCCAGUUUAACACGUGAACUGUGUGUUAAGAGCUAAAGUUAUCCCAUCUUCACACAAAUUAUUAGAGAAAGAGAAAAACUAGAAGAUAUAGUUUUAUUUUGGAAACCAACCAUGAAGAUUUAAACAUUUUUCAGACAAAGAAAGCUUAAAAAUCAAAAUAUUAGAGCUAUAAAAUAUUGAAUAAGAAUCAAGAAUCGUCAAAAAACUUACGAAGGACUUGCCAAAUUCAUAACAGGUUGUAUCACCAAACAAGUUACAAGCUCUCUAGCCAUUGUCCGAACAAUGGGGCAAUGAGCUUCUCGCGGUCUUAGCACUACCGUUAGCACUCCACUCAUUAUGCGCUGAAGAACCUGAGAGAGAGAGAGACAGCACAAAUUUUUUAAGCAGACCACAAACAGAAAAAAGUCAAGAUAAAUUAAAGUAUUAAUGGAGCUCUCCAACCACACCUUGUACUCACUCUCAGGAGAUAUCAAUGCUGGAUGAAGCUCCUUAGAUGCCGUAAGAUGGUAUUUCAAUCUUUCAUCCCUCUCCUCAGAUGAUAGUGUUCUCAUAACAUCAACACCAAUAACUGCUUGGUUUCUUCUGAAAAGAUCUAAGUGAUCACCUAUUAGAUCGACUACAUCCCUGAAAAAUAACACAGUUAUUUCUUGAUGUUCUUUAAGUGCCCUUCUAUUAUCAAACUUGAGAAAAAAAUUUUAGACUUAUAAAUUUCAUUUUAUUUUAUACCUCGUUAGCAAGUCAACAAGAUUUAUCGUUUUGACCCUUCCCGAUAUUUCACCAAUUGCAUCCAUGAUAAUGCUUCGCAUUAGCUCAGGGGCCUCCCUAUCCGGUGUAAUAUCUGAAUACCAUAAAUCAACCACAAAAUCCUUCAAAAUUUUAUCAAUAAACUCACUGAGUGCAGACUCCACAAUAGGAGAAUCAAUUUUCCGCUUCCAUUUUUGUGGGGCUGAUGCAUUAGAAAGACGUGAAUCAUUCACAGACAAUUGUUUCUUCUCCAACAGAGAAAGAUAAGUUUGAGGAUGUCGUGCCUUAACUUUCCAGGAUAUUUCUACCUCAUUGGAUAGAAUUCGCAAUGCACAAACAAUAAGAACUGAUAUGGGCAAAUUCAUCAACAUUGAUGUGCUUGUAUCUGCAUUGAAUAAUUAAAAAGAAAAUAAAUAUAGUACACAGAUAAGCAGUACGUUAUACAGAAACAUAUUUCAAAAGAUAGCAUAUCAAUCUCCCAAAAACUGGUACCGUAAGAAAAACAAUCAGUAGCAGCAUCAAAGAGUUAGACCAAGAUUCUCCAUGAUUUGGUUGCUCUCAGAGAUUCAAAAAACACUUUAAUAAAAUCUGGAAUCCAACUUGGCAUCAUUAACUUAAGCAAUGAAAAAGCUAAAAGAAGAACUUACACUAGCGUCAUAAACAUUUUACUGAGUUCACUGAGGUUUUCCAUUUUACGGCCCCUGAAGUGUUUUCUACUUGACAGCUAAUGUCUACUUACUAUCCACUGCUAGUGAUUUCAUUCUACAGCAGCCGUGGACUAAAAGCCACAGCAUCUCAACAAAAAACAUACCCUUAGUUCGGCGGCACCAAAUUCAAAGUUAUCCUUUCAUAAAAAAAGGUAUAUAAAUGAAGACUGGCCCUAUCAUUAACACUAAUUUCCAAUUUCAAAUUACCAAACACAGCUUAAACACCAAUAAUAAGACACCAUAAAUACCAGCUAAAAAGCACACAGAAUUAAAUGAUGUAAAAAAGUUCAACAGUGCAACGACAAUUCAAAAUUCUAAAACGACACCCUAGCUUAACCUAAACUAUAAAUUAAAUUCAACACAAAUUAACUGAAUAAAGCAAAAAAAAAAAAAAAAAUUAAAAAAACACGAGAAUUUGAUUGUUAUCGUACGCGAUAAGAAAUAGCAGACCGCGAAUAUCAACAAGGCCCACCACACCGUCCGUACUUUGGCUUCCUCGAUCAGAUCUUGUAUCGUCUCCAUCGCCUUCAUUUUUUUUUUCUCUGUUUAAUUAACAGAAAAUUGCUUAAAUUUUCAAUUGACUAGAGACAUCGAUAUCGCUCGAGGAUAUUGAUCGCACGAAAAGUAAGGCCUUGUUUGGUUUCUGGAGACGUGGUGGCGUCUGUCAGCUAAUUGACUUUAUACAGCAAUUAAUUUGUAAGCAGCAAACAUGAGGGAACAUCAGACUCAGAGCAUCUGAAAUUUGAUUUCGUUAGCUUCUCUUUUUGUUUUUUUUUUUGGCAUUUUAUAUUUUUAUUUUAUAUUUUUUUUCUUGGUAUUUUAAAUGGAAACAAAUUAUACGUGCGAAAAAGAAAAUUUGCUAAGCGUCGUUAGGCUCAUUGUUCCGUUACUUUACACGUGUAAAGUCGGGGAUCUUCUCAGUUCAUAUGAAAAUUAUUUCUAUAAAUUUUUGCUAUUUAUUACUGUAAAUAUUAUUAUGAAAGUUAUAUGCAUUUAGGGACAAAAUGCCUGAUAACCAAUAAGAAUGUUUGCUAUAUAAUUGCUGCAAAUGACAAAAAUUAAUGCUGGUAGGAGCCGCAUAUGGGUGACAGCGUGGAUAAUACAAGUCAUGUUGGUGUUGUGUUACAAAUGUUUCCAACUCAUUCCUGCGAUAUGAUUAUGAAGCGGUCGGGCAGAACAGAAGUAUGCUUCAAUUAAAAUACCAUUCAAGAGGAAAAAGGAAAAAAAAGAAAAGUUUGAAUUAUAUGAUGAAUGGGCCGAGAUGGGUCAUUUCUGGGCUUUGAAUGCCCAAUUGGUUUAAAGGAUCAUCAUGGAUAUAAGUUCGACAAUGGGCUUUAGUGAUAGGAGUCAAGAAUCAUAAUAUUUGUGAUUGGCCCAACUGCUACUGCAUUUAUUUAUUAUAUCAUGUAUAGAAUCCAGAAUAGUAGGAAUUCUCUUAUCCCCUUCAAAAUAAGCAUAUCUUAUAAUUAUCUAUGAUUGUUUGCGUCUCUAGUGUGAUCGAAUCCUUCCAGUAGUAAUCAAAUGCAUUGCAUUAUAGACAUAAAAGCGUAAGAACUCAAAGUACUCUAUUGUUCCCGUCUUUAUCUAAUUCGAGGAGUAGAGUCAGGAUCCCUUGAGUUCUUAAUAAACAUAAUAUUAUGUUUUGCUCCUAUAAAUAGAAAAAAAAAAUGGAUAACUUUUUUUAAUGCAUCUUCGUGCAUAAGAAUAUUAGAUUACCCAAUAUAAAAGAUUGAAAAAUCAUCACAAACCACCUUUUUUUUUCUUUUUUUCUUUUGUUAUGGUAUCUUUUAACUUUCCAUAUAUAGAAAUAGAAACAAAUAAACUUAAAUAUUAGAAUCUUGUAUUAUUGUCAAUAUUAAAUUUAUAAGACAAAAGAUAAAUCAAGUAAUGAGUAUAAAUCCAGUGAGGUAUUAGUUACAAUAACUUGUAAGGUAUCUUUGUACAAACUAAUAUGUUUAUAAUAAAAUGUAUCUUGAUAUUAUUUUUAUUUUGUAUUUUAUUAGGAUGCAAUCCAAAUUUUUAUAUUUAUCCUUACGAUUGCAAAGACUUAUUUUCUUAGUUUCUAUUGAAAGAGUGAGUUCUUAGGUUUUGAAGACACGAAGGUGAUGGUAGCGAAACCAACUUAAUUUUAUUUGGUGUCAAAUUUUUAACUUGUUUUCUUUUUGCUAAAACUAAUUUUGUUUUAGUUUAUUGUGGAUAUGAGAGAUCAAUGACUUCUUCUUCUUUUUUAUUUUUUAUUUUUGAUGCGAGGGGACAGUGAGGGGAAGAGUAGUAUAAAAGUGGUCAUUUUAUAAAAUCAAUCAACUGAGAAUUUGACCCAUUUACCUCCUCUCCUUAAUUUUAAGGUGGAGGGUUCAAGUCUCUUUAGCACCUAUGAGAGUUUGUUUUCUAUCAUUACUCAUGCAGGGAUUUAGUUUUUAUAUUGAGUUUUGAUAGGUUGACUAUGUUGGACAUUGAUUGUUCAUUUAUACUUUGGCUUUGGUUGUAUCGGGUAAAAUAUAUUUCAAAGCAAAUAAAAAUCAAUAAUAUAUCAAAAUAAAAGGUCAAACUAUGGUCUUAUUAGUAAAAGCCUAAAAGUUCGUUGAUCCAAACAUUAUCAACUAAUUAUUUUUGGUUGGAAAUAUCUUCGCGCUCCACUAUUUUAAUAUUUUUGUAAAUCCACCACAUUUCUAGAAAAUAAUUACAACGAGUUUACUUUUUUUAAAACAAAAACAAAUCAACAAAAGUUUUCUACAAUUAAUCAACUAAAUUCUUCUUAUAUAUAUUUUACCGCUUAGGUUUCUUUGACCAUCUUUGAUUACAAAAGUUGCUUUGAUAUAAAUUUUAUCUGACUAUUUUAUCCUUAUGACAUAAAAUGAUCAAAUUACCCUCAUAAACAUAAGUUGUUGUAUCUAAUAGUCUAGAUAUUGAAUUUUAUGGUUAUAAUCUAAUGUUUUUAAAUGAAUCUAAUAAUUAUUUUUUAUAUCUUUACAUGCGAAUGGCAUAAAUUUGAUAGUCCAAUAAUUUACGUAAAUAUUCUAUCUUAAAGAACAUUCUAUUAAUUUAAUUAAAAAUUAAUGAUCAUACUAACAAAGUAGUAUUGAUAUAUUAUUUAGAAACAAUGAAUUCCAAAUAAAAUUAACGUAAAUUUUUAGUGCUUUUAUUUUAUAAGGAUAAAACAACCAAUUUAAACUAACACUAAAUCAAUCACUAUAAUCAAAUAUAAUAAAAAAAAAAUUAAGUCACAAAAAAAAAAAUUUAAUUAAAAUAUUCCUAUCCAUUAUUUUUUGGAUAAGUUUGAAAGAAAAAGUCGUCUGCCCCGGCCCACCGCCCGUUGUGCACGCUGUCCACUGCCCGCGGUAUCGGCGCAACGCUGCGUUCGACAAACCACUUUUAAACCAAUGUGCCAGUUCCGCAUAAUAAUAAUUCGGGAUCUCCAAUACAAUCAUUACCAUCGACGGCAGUAUUUAUAUCUUAAAAAAAAUCACAACCGUUCAAUAAUAAAAAAAUCUUUUAAAUCAUUACAAUAAAAAUAUCUCAUCCUUAUCCACUAACCCGGUCCCAUCGCUCCACUUUCCCGGACCUUCAAGCACAAGGAAGAGAUAUUUAUACUCGUUAGUAUUUAACCCAUUCUCCACGACCAAGCAAAAUAUAAAGUCUACAGAUACAAAAACCAAAACCACUCUGUUUGGUUACGAUGUUAGAGUCGAUCGUUGCUGGCUCUUGUUCUGUUCCGUUACAGUUGCAAGCUAAAGAUAAUCUUACUGCAGGAGCAUGUUUCUCUGAUACAACGAAAUCCGCUUCAGUGGCAUGCCGUUCUUCUUCUUCGAGAACCAACGCUUAUAAUGUCCCAAAACUCGAACCCUUUAGCCGUACUAAGUUAGAACGUGCCGUCAAAGAACCCUCCUUGAUCGAAAAAUCUGAAAACGAUCUUGCAGGUCCAUUUCCGUUACUUAUUUUCAAAUUUUUUUAAUAAACUUUAUUUGAUCUUAUUUUAAAUAAGCCUUCUGUUAUGGUUCCUGUGCAGAUUAUUGUUCGACACUCGAAGGAGAUGAUUCCUACAGUUGCUGGAGAGCUUACUUUGAGCUCAAAGAUCUUGAAGUUAGUCUAUUCAUUUACUUCAAAUCAUAUUGCCCUUAAAACUUAUAAUUCAAAUGGAACUUUGUAUGUGAACUUUAAUUCUUUGUGUGAAAUUGAUCAGAAAGAAUUGCCAAAAGAAGAUAUCGAGAAACUGAUCCUGCAAUCGGGUGGUGUGAAAUCUUUAAUUGGGUGCUUACAUGGGAUAUCAUCAAUACGCAAAGCAAAGACUGAUGGGUUAGCUUCCGAAGAAAAGCAAUUGGGUUCCAAGAGAAUAGAAAGCAGUUCGCGUCCUGUCCCGGAUGGGCUGCCCAAGACCCUGGAAGAGCUUGAGGAAGAAGAGAGAGCGAGAAUGCCUGAUUCUCCAUACACGAGAUUGCUUAGAGCAAAAGGGAGACUCCCUGCUUGGUACUCGCUUGCCCCUGAUCACGAAACAGAUUGAUAAUUCAGGCGAAGAGGUUUAACAAGUUUUGUGUUGGUUCGUUGCAGAUAUUAUCAUGGAUCUGGUGUAUUAUUUAAAUGUGGGAUUUUUGCUCUUUGAUUGAUUGUCGUAGCGAAGUAUACAGUUCCAUCAGUUGAUAAGUUAUAUAGUCUUAAUAUCGAAUAUGUGCUUCAGAGCAAACACCUUUUUUGCAUAUAAAUAACUCCAGCUAUUGAAAUCUUCUUGCAACAUUCUUUAUAGCAAGGCUAAUGCUAACUUACAGUCCCCUCGUAUGAAUAGUAAAUUAUGUGGGUUCACUUACUAUUUAUAUAAGAGGAUUGUAAGUUACAUGUACGUAACUUACGGAAAUCCUUAUAGCAAUUUGAGCUGAGCUGAGACAGACUGUUUGUUUGGCUGCUUUGUUGUUUCAUUAUAAAUCUUCAUAAACAGGGUGGCAUGAUGGUAAAUUUGGUUUCAAUGAUCAGUGUAUGUUCUCUAUGUGACACAUUGAAGUCCACUGAUCAUUUCCAGGCCACAAAAGAAUAAGCUUGACCCAAUUAUCAAUGAAAUCAACUGGAGAAUAGAAACUAAAUCUCAAUUAAUUGAGCCAAUUCUGCUUACAUGUGCAAAGUUCAACGGUAAAGCCGUAAAGGAGGGCUUCUCAAGCUGAACUUAGGAACUUGUGAACUAAUAUAAGCUAUAAUUUUAAUCUCAUUUAACGGUGUUUAAUCUCUGCAGAUUUUAUUGAUAAUGAUAAAUAAGAUCAUCCUUCACCGUUUGAUUAGUGAAAACCAUGGAGUUGUCUGCCAAGUGGCAAACAGGGUGAACUUCAAUUGCCUUCCUCAUGUCAUAUUCUUCUGAUUAAAUACAAUCAAUUUUGUCCGACUGAUUAUCAUAUACAAUCGGUCAAUUGCCAUUUUUAGCUUUGCUCAAACAAAGAAACAACUUCCAUUAACUUAUCUAAAGUUUAGUUAUGCACCAGGGGUGCUCCAAUCUCCCGGCAAAAUUGGUGGCGAAAAAACAGAGAGACAUUUUUCCUUUUUUUUCUUUUCCCAGUCUGUCAGUGGCUCGAAAUCCUUAACCUCUACCUCUAUAUAUAACACCUCUCCUGCCAUUGGGAUCCACAGCCUGCUAUAUGCAGCCUUGGACUUGAAACCAAGGUGUUAACAAGUAUGGCUAAAACCAGAGGAUUGCAGGUCUUUGGCUGUGUUGUUCUCGUCUCCCUUGCAUGCUCGUCUUUAUCAUCCAUUUGUUCUGCUUUGACUGAUGCUGAAGCGGCUUUCAUUGCUCGCUGCCAGCUCUUAACAUUACCAAAGGAUGGAAAACUUCCUGAUAAUUUCGACGAUGAGUAUGGUCUUAAGAACAAAAAUUUUUCCAAUGAUAGGCUUAAGAAAGCAUAUGUUGCCCUUCAAGCUAUCAAGGUAAUAGCUCAAGAAAGUUCACAAAAAACACAGGAAGGCCAAAAUAUAGCUUCUUAAAAUAAAAUAUCAGUAGUAGAAAUGCUCAAAUGUUAUCCAUUCAAAAUGUGAUGGCGAUAACAGCAGCAUAAAAGAGAUCUCAACCAAGAAAGUUGUUACCAGAAGAAAAGAACAUGACAAUUGAUCAUAAAGUAACAAAUGUGACAAAUCUCUAUCAUUAGCACUUAGUAGUUAAAAGAGCGAUGAAAAGAGAACACUCUUAAUUAUUGAAACCCUCUAGAUCAUUGUCAUACAUAAUUCCAAAUUCUCAAAUGCAAGAAAACAGCAAUUCAAUCACGGUUUCUGGUAGAUGAAAGGGCACAUCAUAAUUGUUCACACUCUCAGAACAAAUUCACACAAUUGACCAUGCAACAAACCAAUACUAAGAUGUUGAAACAAAAAAUGAGAGCGCAAUUACUCAAGGAAGGAAAAAUUUUAGCUCACCUUAGCCAGCCUCUUCUCUUAAGUUGAAAUACCUUGUCCUCUAAAUUCAAUAGAGGCACACUUACGUUGGGCGGAGUCCACUGCACGAAAAUCAAUUAUAAACAAUAAAAUAUCUCAUACAAAAAUAUACCAGGUUAAAAAAUUUAGCAAACAGGCUGUAAUCUUGACCUUACGGAAGUAAAUAAAAAUAACAAUGAAUGCACCAAAAAGAGCUGGAUGCAAACUUAUAUACAAGUAGUACGCUCAAAAGGUACACAAGAGAAACAUGAAUAUCAAAUAAAGCACAGAAAUCUAAAAACCAAACAUCACUCUAUUAAGUGAAAGAGAUAAAGAACUACUUGAAUCAUCAUAAAAUUGCAACAAUCCCAACAUAAACCAAUAAGUACACUCAAAGUCUUUAAGGUCAUCAAUGCAUUUAUACAUAGUCUGUAUGGAAACUUUCAAUACACUAGUUAUCUCUAUAUCACACAUUGUUUAAUUUUGCCUUUAAAACCUAAUAUCAUUUUCAACCCAGCCAAAAUUCCCUUGUCCCUAAAGACAUUUCUACUGACAAAAAAAUGGAGCAUUAAAUAGGACAGACGGUGAAAUCAAUUAUUAGCAAUCCCUUGAAGUAGCAAUAAGAUAUAUCAUCACCGAUUGAGCUUGCUAACAGGCAUUCACUAUUGAGCAUUUCUGCCAUUUUUUCCUUGCCACCUACACCUUAGCCUUCGACUCAAGAAUUUAACUUAAUGGAUGUUUCAUCAUACCGUGAAAACUCCAAGAACGUUUUACUAUGCUACCUCAAAUAUGAUAGGUAUUUCAAAUUAACACAGUAUCAAGAUACUCAAAUUCAUGCGCAAAACCAAUAUAAUGCCAAUUAUAUGAACAUUACCUCUGGAGGCAUUCCAACUGGAUUUAGUGGAGAACCGGCUGCAGGAAAUCCAACCUGGCCAAUCCCUUCAGCUUUUGCCUCUAAGCUCAAUUUCUUCUGUGUGGCUAAGUUCCUAGACUCUUCACCACGUUUCACUACCCGAGGUGGAAAACCUUUUGAGUUCAAUUCAUUGUCUGAAUGCCACCCAGUUCCUUGUGCAAAAGAUGUGACCUCCUGAAGGUCAUGGCUUCCAUCUUUAUCACCGUCUUCAUUGUCAGAGAAGCUGUUCACGGUCUCAGAUGUAUUUUGCCUUACAACAUAUUUACUAAUCUCAUCGGUACUCAAUGACAAGUUUCUACCAGGGAUUGAGGAGGAGGUAUCAUCAGUGGGGGAAGGUGAACCAACAACUUUCCUCGUCAAGCCAUCUGAAACCCCUUUAAACUGCCGUACAAUGUCAUCCGCGGCAUCAUCCACAUUUACUGUAAUAACAACAAAGGACGAUUAAAUGGUCAGAAAAAUCACAAUAACUCAUCUAGGCUAAAAUCAAAAUUCAGGAAGAAAACAGAAGUAUAAUUUUGCCAGAACUUAUUGGGUGAACUACUUAUUUUCAAUCACAAAAAAAUUCAUUAAGAAUAAAAGAAUGAGUUCCAUAUGCGUGAUAGUUCCACUUCAAAUAGUUGGCAAAAUAAACUAAUUCCAUUUUACAGUUUCUCACAUAUGAAUUAGAUUGAAAAUGAGAUGUUCAAAGCCAUCCAGGAUACACACACAAGCACCAGUAUGUACAAUAAGAGACAGACUUCUGAUGGUCAAAAUUGAAUAAAAAUGUGUGUAUGUGUACGUGACAGAAAGAGAGAGAGAGACUUUGACAAAUUGAGAUCGUUAAAAAAAAAUAAUAAUAAAUAAAUAAAUAAGAAAGAGGAAAAACAAAUUUAUGACAUACAUAGUGAUGAGGAACAUGCCACUUCUAUGAAUAAAGGAAAAAUACGUGUGGCCAAUAGAAUAAAGUACACUGAGUAAUAAUAUUAAAUAAAAGUCUUACUACUGACCAACUCUUAGAAAAAUGCAAAUGGUAAUCCAGAAGAUGAAAGAGUUUGUUUAAAAUCAUGAAAACAACUAUACUGGAUAAUUGUCGCAGUUGAAGAACCUAUGAAAAAAUCCACGUGAUGGGAUCUCUUGCACUAUAAGUAACAGGAUAAUAAAAGGCAAUAAAAAAAAAAGAAAUGUAUAAAAUUCAAGAGUGUGGUAACAACAAACAAAAAUACCACAUACCUGCUAGGGUUCUCAUCACUGAUGAUGAUUUUCCAAAAGAAUAAUUCUUCAAAAUCCAAAGGCUAUAUUAGUGAUUAGAUAUAUCUCAGCUGACCAAAAGAAAAUGUAAAUGACUGUUGUAAACGAGUUACAGUAUUUAGCCAGGAAACUAACACCGACUGUCAGGAAGAUACAAACCUUCGAAUUAACACUUAAAAAAUCCCAGACUUCAUGUUGUUCAGCAACAUUGGCUAUAGAAAGGAGAUCCUGUGGUAUAGGUAACAAAACUGAGACAAGAAGAAAAUGGUGCUGCCAUUGAAGAGAAUAAGACAGAGAAGGAAGUUAGAGUACAUGUAGAUAUUUGUCAAGCUGAAUACAGCACUGAUAAACUAAAGCAUCCUCGGUGCUUGACGAGACUAUCCUUUUGGGGGGUAAAUGUAAUGUAUAGUUUGGGAAUUCAUUAAGAUGUCGAUGUAAUCGUUCAAAAUUUCUAUAUCUGCAUGGAGACAAGAACAAGAGUCAAGUUAAAACCAGACUCAAAUCAUUUCUGCUACAAAAUGAAGCAUACUGAUAUGGAAACUCCAGGAACUUUCUUAUUAACUCAUUGCAACCAAACUAACUUGUGGUUACCAGACAAAUUCUCUAAUGUGUAUAAAACAUGUGAUGACAUGGUACUCUUGUAGAUAUGAAAUGGGCAAGUAGAAACCUUCUUUUCACAAACCAAGUUCUGUUAUCUGAAUCCGUCACUGCAAUUGAAUACACUGCAAAAGAUUUUGACCCAAGUUUCUCAAAAUAAGCUCCCAUUACCUGCACACAUAGGUCAGGAAAGCAUACAAAAUUUAACUAUGACUUGAAGAAAACAUCAUCCAGGAUAUAUCUAGAGACACAAGCUCAACAGAAAAGGAUUGUAAUGGCUGAUCAUUUUAUAUUUUAUGCAUCUCACAAAAAUUUUAGAUAAAGAUGCUCACCCGGCACUUGAGCUUGGGGCAAUAUCGUCCAUCACUGCAAAGCAUUACAUCUGAGGCGUUCUUAUGCCCAUGUUCUUCCCCACUCCUUCCAAAAUCAGGGCUGUAAAACUCAGCAAUGAUGGACCCUCCACCAUCUCCAUCAAACGCUUUUUUUGAAUCAGGUUCAGUUUUCAAAGCAGAAGUGCUGCUGGAGUUCUUAAUCCUACUUCGAUUUGCAUCUGCACCAACGCUAUCAGUAUUAUUCAACAGAUCCCCAUCAAAAUUUUGAAACAAUUGUGUUUCCUUUUUACUCCCCUCACUUAUUUGAGUUACAAGACUUGAUCCUGGUGAUAGCCCCAGGAGUGCUUUCUCCCCUGUUCCUGCAGAUAAUCCAAUCCUGUUGGUGAGCACAUCCUUCCCCAUAUUCGUAGUAGGUACAGCACUACGUAUUCCUUGACCCCCAAUAUUCGUAGUUGGAACAGCACUAUGUAUUCCUUGACCCUUCCCUAGGUGUUCCCGGACGCCAGCAUUUUCUGCACGUUUCUGCUCUUUCUUCUUAUAAUUUCUUCCUUUUGUCCACAUAUUUUCAAGAUUUUCGGGAGUAAGAACUUCAGUUCUUCUUUGCGUCACAGCCUCCAGCAUUUGUGCCCACUCAGCAGCUCGCAGAUGCACAGACUCUUCCUGGGAUGUAUUAUCAUCCAAAGACAUUUCUCUUUGAUUCCCAAAA
rnacentral:lncRNA from 1 species